UACGGAGGAUGCAAGCGUUAUCCGGAUUUAUUGGGUUUAAAGGGUCCGCAGGCGGACUGAUAAGUCAGUGGUGAAAGCCUACAGCUUAACUGUGGAAUUGCCAUUGAAACUGCCAGUCUUGAGUAUAGUUGACGUUGGCGGAAUAUAACAUGUAGCGGUGAAAUGCUUAGAGAUGUUAUAGAACACCAAUUGCGAAGGCAGCUAACGAAACUAUUACUGACGCUCAGGGACGAAAGCGUGGGUAGCGAACAGG
rnacentral:rRNA from 1 species